GAUGAACGCUAGCGGUGUGCCUAAUGCAUGCAAGUCGAACGGGAUCCCUUGGAUUCGUCUGAGGGUGAGAGUGGCGGACGGGUGAGUAACGCGUUGGUGACCUGCCCCGCAGAGGGGGACAACCAGUGGAAACGCUGGCUAAUACCCCAGAUGUCAAUGUCUUUAGAAAGCAUUGACUGAAGCUCUGGCGCUGCGGGAGGGGCCUGCGUCCCAUCAGCUUGUUGGUAGGGUAACGGCCUACCAAGGCUAAGACGGGUAGGGGGCGUGAGAGCGUGACCCCCCACACUGGUACUGAAACACGGACCAGAUACCUACGGGUAGCAGCAGCAAGGAAUAUUGCCCAAUGGACGAAAGUCUGAGGCAGCAACA
rnacentral:rRNA from 1 species